AUCAAAAUGGCGGAUUUUUCGAACAAAGGGGAAGUUGUCUCUAAAGGGAUAGCGAAACGGAAAUAUCUGCUGGUAGAUAACGAUUUAGAAGGAUUAGAAUUCGAGUUAAAAGAUAACCCUGUAAAUAAGAGUUAUGCUCCUAUGAAACUAUUCAAGUUAUCUGAAGUGGAAUCUUUGGCCAUUACAAAAUGGGGAAGUAUGGAGAAACUGGAAACUGAGCAGGAAAAGAGAAGGAAACAAAAUUCAAAGCUGGAGAACAGAAAAGAAGAGGAAAAGAAACAUUUCUGGGACUGCAAAGAGCUAUUCGAGCCACUGAAACGCUUCAUGGUAAACAUGGAGUUGCCAAUAGAAAGGGUGUCAUCAUAUUUUAAAGAUAAAGGUGAUAACAGGAAAGCAGCUGGUGGAAGCCCUGACAGCCUUCUUGAAUGUGAUGUAAUCCUGUGUUUUUGUGACUGCUUGCACAACAUCCCUAAUGAUUUUGUGGCGCGUCAAAUAUUUAAAAGAUUUCCUGAAGCUAGGCAAGUGGACAAAGAGACACCAUACAAUGAAAGACGAAAGAUGGGACACUUUUCUUGGACUUCCAGCCUGACUUCAGACCAAGUCAUUGUCAAUUUAUAUGUAGUGCAUAAAUGGAAGGGUGUGUCUCAAAGGCAAGCAUCUUCUUCACUGAUCAAUUUUGAGGCUCUUGCCAUUGGCCUUCAAAGAUUGUCAGCUCUGCUCUCCAAGACACUUGAUAAUGAUGGACGGCAAGCGAACAGUCUGAAAAUUGGGACUUAUGUACCAUACAGAGUGGACUCUGAAACAUGAGCUGCCUGCAAGACCGUGUCAUGGCGGGGCUGCCUAACAGACCUCCGUCAGUGUGUGUUUUGUCACCACAAGAACUAUCUUACGCGAAAGUUGAUUUUGGUAAAAUUCACAUCCCCGCUAAUGCGCUGAUUAUUGCCGAACACGAGCAAAUAUUCCUAACAGUGGCGAGCAUGUUAAAAGAGCUGAAAGCAGUACUCAUUGGGGAUGCUGGUUAUGUUUACACUGGGAAAAUAGGCUGCCGGCUUGUUUUCUUACUCAAAUGUCGCGAUCGUGGACCAGGAGCAGUAAUUCAGACCAUAAAGACGCUAAAACCAAGGGCUGGCAUCUUCCUUGGGUUUGGUAAAUCUCUUGCGAGUAGGCCUUAUGAAAUCGGCGACGUGAUUAUCACAGAUGCGGUUUUACGAAAAGAUUGCCAACAAGGAAAACUUGAAAGUUACGCCUGCAGUGAAUGCUUGGUCAAUGUGUUUGAGAACGGCAAGUAUGGCUGGGUCCUUCCAAAGUACCGCAAACAAGCUGUCCAUGUUGGCAAAGUUCUUCAGAUGGGAAAUGUAACAAAAAAUGAAAAAACCAAGGCAGUAGCUGUAAAAACUACCAGCUUGGAUGUACCCGAAUGCAGUAAAGACCUUGGCAGAAAAUGGAUUUCAAUCGUAGGCGUCCUUGGUACCCCGCGUUACCAUGGCGACUCUUCUUGGGAACCCUAUGUAGCAGCAGUCCUGAGUUCACUCGUCAAUCAAGUCCUGCAAGACGAUCAAGUAUUUGCUAUCAUGGGAGGAGAGGCUAGGGGACCCAGGCAACAUAGUCCUGUCUUGAAUAACCCAAUGCAAGAGACAAUGGAUUGCUCAAUGAAGAUGGACGAAUAUAGUUCUCUAUAUGGUAGGAUAUUGACCCGUGGAAUGCUUAUUUACAUGUUAAUAGUUGGUUUUCACAUGACGUCACUAAAAUUCAAAUUACAAAACUGUUGAUCUUCCU
rnacentral:misc_RNA from 1 species